rnacentral:rRNA from 1 species
UACGUAGGGUGCGAGCGUUAAUCGGAAUUACUGGGCGUAAAGCGUGCGCAGGCGGUUAUGUAAGACAGGUGUGAAAUCCCCGGGCUUAACCUGGGAACUGCAUUUGUGACUGCAUAGCUAGAGUACGGUAGAGGGGGAUGGAAUUCCCGGUGUAGUGGUGAAAUGCGUAGAGAUCGGGAGGAACACCAGUGGCGAAAGCGGCCCUCUGGGCCGGGCCUGACGCUGAGCACGCGAGGGCGUGGGGAGCGAACGGG